rnacentral:rRNA from 1 species
GGCUGCAGUGGGGAAUAUUGCACAAUGGGGGAAACCCUGAUGCAGCGACGCCGCGUGAGCGAAGAAGUAUUUCGGUAUGUAAAGCUCUAUCAGCAGGGAAGAAAAUGACGGUACCUGACUAAGAAGCCCCGGCUAACUACGUGCCAGCAGCCGCGGUAAUACGUAGGGGGCAAGCGUUAUCCGGAUUUACUGGGUGUAAAGGGAGCGUAGACGGCAAGGCAAGUCUGAUGUGAAAACCCAGGGCUUAACCCUGGGACUGCAUUGGAAACUGUCUGGCUCGAGUGCCGGAGAGGUAAGCGGAAUUCCUAGUGUAGCGGUGAAAUGCGUAGAUAUUAGGAAGAACACCAGUGGCGAAGGCGGCUUACUGGACGGUAACUGACGUUGAGGCUCGAAAGCGUGGGGAGCAAACAGGAUUAGAUACCCCAGUAGUC